rnacentral:rRNA from 1 species
UGGGGAAUUUUGGACAAUGGGGGCAACCCUGAUCCAGCAAUGCCGCGUGUGUGAAGAAGGCCUUCGGGUUGUAAAGCACUUUUGUCCGGAAAGAAAACGUCGUGGUUAAUACCCGUGGCGGCUGACGGUACCGGAAGAAUAAGCACCGGCUAACUACGUGCCAGCAGCCGCGGUAAUACGUAGGGUGCAAGCGUUAAUCGGAAUUACUGGGCGUAAAGCGUGCGCAGGCGGUCCGCUAAGACAGAUGUGAAAUCCCCGGGCUUAACCUGGGAACUGCAUUUGUGACUGGCGGGCUAGAGUAUGGCAGAGGGGGGUAGAAUUCCACGUGUAGCAGUGAAAUGCGUAGAGAUGUGGAGGAAUACCGAUGGCGAAGGCAGCCCCCUGGGCCAAUACUGACGCUCAUGCACGAAAGCGUGGGGAGCAAACAGGAUUAGAUACCCUGGUAGUCCACGCCCUAAACGAUGUCAACUAGUUGUCGGGUCUUCAUUGACUUGGUAACGUGCUAACGCGUGAAGUUGACCGCCUGGGAGUACGGUCGCAAGAUUAAAACUUAAAUGAAUUGACGGGGUCAAGCUGUUCCU